ACUGGCUGAAACCACAACGGUUGUUUGCAAUCUGCACUCUAACUUUGGAUCACCUAGUUAAUACUCUGACUCUGAUUAUUACCAAAGACAAUAUUCUCUAAAAGAUAUUCUCUAUAAGAAGGAUGCUCCUGCAUUAUUAAUAACAUCACAGGGAAAAUGCAACAUUUUGGAUGUCACAUCUGAUAAGUUGGCAGUUAAAGAACAGAAACACAGCAAUAAGACUGAGUGGCUACAUUUUCCCAGUGCCACCAACUGGGAGUUAAGCUGACUAACAUUUUGAAAGCCCAGCCCAUUUCAUUCACAGCAGGAUGGCAGUGGGUGACUGAUCAUACCCGCCGGCUGGCUAAUGUCAUAAUUAACAAAGUUGCUACUACAUCGGCAAAGUUUAAUCGAAAAAUUUGCCAGUGAUAUGAUGGCAUUGUCACAGAGAUCACAAGGGACACGGAGUCGACUUUUGCUCAAGAUGGAACGACAGAGCUGUGUAGGCAAGAUGAGAAAUUGCAAACUUGUUCGGCCAAAGGAGGCUAAUAAUGAAGGGGCCGGGAAGGAGGCCAGUGCUACCAGGGUUAUCUCACAACCUCAGAUGCUGGAUAAGUCGAAGGAGGCAGAAUCGCUUUGGGAUGACAUUCAGAAAGGCUGGAGUGAUUACUUGGAAGAGAAAAGCCUACCUAUUCUUUCCAAGGUUCAGGAAUAUUCCCCUGACCUGCUCAUCCAAUGGUCCAGUAAUGAAUUACUGGAGACCUGCCUUAGACAAAGAAUGCACUCGGAGCCCCAACACACCUAA
rnacentral:lncRNA from 1 species